UACGUAGGGGGCAAGCGUUGUCCGGAUUUAUUGGGCGUAAAGAGCGUGUAGGCGGUCAGGUAGGUCGGUUGUGAAAACUGGAGGCUCAACCUUCAGAGGUCGACCGAAACCCCCUGGCUAGAGUCCGGGAGAGGAGAGUGGAAGUCCUGGUGUAGCGGUGAAAUGCGCAGAUAUCAGGAAGAACACCCGUGGCGAAAGCGGCUCUCUGGAACGGUACUGACGCUGAGACGCGAAAGCGUGGGGAGCGAACAGG
rnacentral:rRNA from 1 species